UGGCUCAGAACGAACGCUGGCGGCAGGCCUAACACAUGCAAGUCGAGCGAAGCCUUCGGGUUUAGCGGCGGACGGGUGAGUAACGCGUGGGAAUAUGCCCUUCUCUACGGAAUAGCCCUGGGAAACUGGGAGUAAUACCGUAUACGCCCUACGGGGGAAAGAUUUAUCGGAGAAGGAUUAGCCCGCGUUGGAUUAGGUAGUUGGUGGGGUAAUGGCCUACCAAGCCUACGAUCCAUAGCUGGUUUGAGAGGAUGAUCAGCCACACUGGGACUGAGACACGGCCCAGACUCCUACGGGAGGCAGCAGUGGGGAAUCUUAGACAAUGGGGGCAACCCUGAUCUAGCCAUGCCGCGUGAGUGAUGAAGGCCUUAGGGUUGUAAAGCUCUUUCAGCUGGGAAGAUAAUG
rnacentral:rRNA from 1 species